rnacentral:tRNA from 1 species
AUUUUUCUAGUACUAUAACAGUAUAAGUGACUUCCAAUCACCUGGUCCUGGUUAAAACCCAGGGAAAAAUA